rnacentral:rRNA from 1 species
UCCAGACUCCUACGGGAGGCAGCAGUCGAGAAUCAUUCACAAUGGGGGGAACCCUGAUGCAGCGACGCCGCGUGGGUGAAGGAGCGUUUCGGCGCGUAAAGCCCUAUCGGCAGGGAAGAAGGAGGACGGUACCUGACUAAGAAGCCCCGGCUAACUACGUGCCAGCAGCCGCGGUAAUACGUAGGGGGCAAGCGUUAUCCGGAUUUACUGGGUGUAAAGGGGGCGCAGACGGCAGCGCAAGCCAGGAGUGAAAGCCCGGGGCCCAACCCCGGGACUGCUCUUGGAACUGCGCGGCUGGAGUGCAGGAGGGGCAGGCGGAAUUCCUGGUGUAGCGGUGAAAUGCGUAGAUAUCAGGAGGAACACCGGUGGCGAAGGCGGCCUGCUGGACUGCGACUGACGUUGAGGCCCGAAAGCGUGGGGAGCAAACAGGAUUAGAUACCCGCGUA